AUUUAAAUCGAAUGAAAUACUCUUCAAUGAGAAACUACAAUAAACAAUGCCAGAAUUUCCAGGAAACACAAAAACAAGAAUCACUCAUAAACUCGAAACCAACCAGAAGAAGAGUAUAAUUUCGUUAGAAGGCAAUCAAGAUAAUUUCUACCAAUAAAUAGUAACAUGAAUUAUGAAGCGUGACAUUAACGCAAGUCGACAGUACUUUCCGAAAAAAUAUAUUUUUUGUUCUACCUUGGA